GUGCUUGCUUCGGCAACACAUAUACUAAAAUUGGAAUGAUACAGAAAUUAGCACGACCCCUGUGUAAGGAUGACAUGCAAAUUUGUGAAGCAUUCCAUAUUUUU
rnacentral:snRNA from 1 species